UUGUUUCCAGGAAGGAGAAAUUGAUAUUCAUGCCAUCAGGUUGGCAGCAACUCAAACAGAAAGCAAAUUAGAAUAAAAUGUAAAAGGAAAUGCAAUACAGGGCGAAACUUGUUAGAUCUUGUAUUAUUCACGUAACCCGACACAACCUUCAUUUCAAGGAUGAAAUACCCUUGCUAGGGUGUAUUGUUCAGAACCAUUGGUGCCGCGUGACUUGGAUUUUGUGCAGAGGAAAGUAAGGGCGGGGGGGGUGGUGAAAUCAGAGAGUGUGUGGCACUUGGAAUUGUUCUGUGUAUGAUUCUACAACCCAGCUCAGCCACGUGUCCGAAAAGGUGAAUCACAAUCCAUUUUGUGAACACUGCGGACUGACCAGCCCUCGCCACUCUUCAAACAGCGUGAUGGCAGUAACGCUGUUGUAAAGCUCAGGUCCUGUAAUGGGAACUGAACUUAAGUAUCUGGGUUGCCGUUAAGCACAAUAGACCCAUUACUGCACUGGAGAGGCAGUGUUGACUACAGUGAAGAGGACAGAAUAACUGGGAAAAUCUUGCACUGGCAUUUCCCACAACAGAGAAAACCGAGCAAUGACUGAGGUAAAAUGAUCGGAUACGGGCACACAAAACCAAGGCAGCUAUUGGAACCAACAGCAUUAAACCCCUGGAGGUGGAACCCAGCACCUCAGAGCCCCAGAAUUUGCUCCAGGGCAGAGAGACUUGCAGAGGGGAGAUGGUCGCAAUAAAGAGUUUCAGGGCGUAUGGCCUCCACAGAGCCCUGAUCUCAACAUCAUCGAGGCUGUCUGGAGAGACGGAAGCAAGCGAGACAACCCAAGUCUGCAGAAGACCUGUGGCACGUUCGCACAAUCUACAGGCAAUGUUCUUGUAAAACUGCAUGAGAGUGUACCUAAGAGAAUUGAUACAGUUUUAAGGGCAAAGGGCAGUCACACUGGAUAGUAUCUUGAUUUCUUUAUUUACUGUUUUCUGAUCUUUAAAGCAAUUAUUUUGAUUUUUUGAAACUCUUCAUUUUAUUUUUGAAAGCAUUUUUGCUUUACAGGAUUUUUUUUUUUAACAUGUGCCCAAGACUUUAGCACACAACUGUACAAGAUACUAAUAAAUCAGGAGAAAUUUCAAUUAGCAGUCCCAUGUGGAGUGGUCAAACUGAACAGAAAAUAUUCCUUAAAACAGCAGCUAAAUACACAAAAAAAAGUUAUGUGAAAUGUGAAAGGGAAGAGGUUCAUAAGAAGUUCAAAAUCAUAAGCCUUAAAAUCCUAUGCUGUUUCAAGAAAUUAUGAUUCCACACAGCCAUGGUGCAUCUCAUCAGUUAAGUUCACCAAGGAUCAAGGGGAUUCUCAAAAUUUUAUUACUAAGUACAGUACUGUGCAAAAGUCUUAAGCACAUAUACAGUAUAAAGCUGGGUGCUUAAGACUUUUCAACUGUACUGCAGUAAUUUUAUGUACUGCACUGUACUGCUGCCAAAGAAAAAUAUCAUGACAUGAGUGAUGAUAAACCUGAUUCUGAUAUAGUCUCUAUUGUGGACUGGGAGUGGGAAGGGGGCAGGGAGAGGGGAAUCACAUUUGGGAAAAGGGGAAGGGAGCAGGAAGCACCAGAGAGACAUUCUGUAAUGAUCAAUAAACAAAUUGUUUAGAAUCAAAUGACCUUGCCCGGUGUUUCUGGGCUGGGUGUGUCUGUAACUGUGCCAAUCCCUGCCCCUGGCACUCCUUCUCUGCCACCUGUCACACACUCCUGCGACACUUCACCCUCGCCAUUCCCAACAACUUUUGCUCCCGCCAGAUUUACAAACUCGCACUCUGCUCCACAUUGAUAAAUUACAAUACUAUGCAAAAGUCUUAGGCACCCUAUCUAUAUUUAUGUGUCUAAGGUGUUUGCACGGGUUCUGUCUGUCUCUCACCCACACAUGUAACCUACUGGAUCCCCUGUCCUGACCAUACAACCCCAGUAUUGUGAACAUGAGGUCUGCCUUCCCACUGAGAUCUAAAUCUGACACUUUCACUGGUGAUGCUUUCACAGUAAACUGCCCAAGUGUUUUAAAUUGCACGAGACUACCCUCAGGAGAUAGCAGCAGCCUUCCACUGUCCAUUAUUACUGCGUAGCAUCAAGAAAUAUCCUGAAAAUGGCUUGCUUUGACCACCUGUGCACUUCUCAAACUCUGGAAAGAAUCAGAACCUGCCCACCUCUUCAGAGUCUAUUCUGGGAUCCUUCCACUAAAUAGCUCAUUCUGCUGGAGGAGGAGAACUCCAUCAUUAAACCAUCCAGAGGCUAGGCACAGUGGCAAGAAACAAGCCAGUGAACAGGAAACAGACUCCAUUAAAUAAGGUUCAAGAGGUUGU